AUUGAACGCUGGCGGCAGGCCUAACACAUGCAAGUCGAGCGGAUGACGGGAGCUUGCUCCUUGAUUCAGCGGCGGACGGGUGAGUAAUGCCUAGGAAUCUGCCUGGUAGUGGGGGACAACGUUUCGAAAGGAAAGCUAAUACCGCAUACGUCCUACGGGGGAAGGCAGGGGAACUGCAGGCCUUUCGCUAGCAGAUGAGCCUAGGUCGGAUUAGCUUGUUGGUGAGGUAAUGGCUCACCAAGGCGACGAUCCGUAACUGGUCGGAGAGGAUGAUCAGUCACACUGGAACUGAGACACGGUCCAGACUCCUACGGGAGGCAGCAGUGGGGAAUAUUGGACAAUGGGCGAAAGCCUGAUCCAGCCAUGCCGCGUGUGUGAAGAAGGUCUUCGGAUUGUAAAGCACUUUAAGUUGGGAGGAAGGGUAGUAAGUUAAUACCUUGCUGUUUUGACGUUACCGACAGAAUAAGCACCGGCUAACUCUGUGCCAGCCGCCGCGGUAA
rnacentral:rRNA from 1 species